AAAAGAAGAAAAUUUUGACUGGUAGGGUCCAUUUCAGAUCGAGCAAUUCCUGUAGUUCCUUCUCCAGAAACACGGAUUCCAGCAGCUGAGACUGACAGUCAGUGUUUUACACUCCACAGAUUUUAAAUAUCAAAAUGACAGCUUCUCACAUGUUGUUGUCCAUCAGGAGGAGCCAUGAUUGCUGUUUGGAGAAGAUGUGAUUGCCAACCUGUGGCUGGAUGUUUCCCUCCAGAAGGAAAUGUCUACUUCAUUUAUUCACUGCUUUGUGGUAAGGAGGAUUCAUCAACGUACGAAAUUGCAGUCGACAACAAGGAAAGGUUAUGAACCCAUUGGCCUAUGUAUUCCCUCUGUCGGCCCUGUUUGGAAAAGAAGCACAAUCAAAUUUCAGUGAUUGCAUCAGAAAUCUUAAUGAUUAACAAUACGUACAAAGCAAAGAAUGUUCAACAGGGGCAACAGUAUGAUUACAUGGAGUCACCAGAUGGUGCUAUUGUACAUUGUCUGCCUUGCUCUGUUCAUCUGGAUAUCAAGGAGUCCCCUCUAAUGAAAUGCAAAACAUCAGCUGUGAUGCGGUUCCUACCAAAAUCCCUCGUAAAGCUUGUCUCUUGACUGAACUUCCCUGAUAAAGAACUAUAUUCAUAGGUAUGAAAUCCAUGAC
rnacentral:lncRNA from 1 species